CUUUCCAAGCUUACAGUAGCUUCUUUGUGGACCUAUUGUAAGCACACUAUUGUUAGCACUAUACAUCCAAGAUGAUGCAAUGAUUCAGAGGACAUGCGGCCAAACCUCUCCAUGAAAACUGGCGCAGUUUGUCACAAAAUUUCUGUGGAAGUGGUCACAUGGGCAAUUACCAGAAUUUCCUGUGUAGUCCAGUGAUGAGCUGAACAGAAAUGAAACAAAAAUGUACAGACAUGAUAGACACAGGUACAUGGCACUAGCACCUAAGAUAUGUCCAUGAACAAUGUCCAAAGUAGCUAGUAUCAUUAAGUGCCUGAUGGCACUCUCACAUAAUGCUCCACACCAAACUCACCUCACCACCCCUGUCCUCACAGUCCUCACACCCUAGCAAAUGACCGGUGGUACUAGUCGACAACGUAUCAGGCCAAAAGUGUAGUCUUAGCAAUAGUACUAGUCUCUUGUCAUCACACCAGGACAUUUAGGUGAGGUCUUGUAACUGACAACAACAAUAACAAGGUGUCUGAUUGAUUCUGACUCCAGUACACCACUGUUCUUCCAGCAAUUUCUUCUCCCUUAUUACAAAAACUGCAAGGAGGAAAAAAGUUGCAGAGAUGUUGAGAUUUUUCUGUCUGUUUUUUUUAUUUGUAUGCUUGUCUGGAUACUGGAUAGGCUUCAGUUGCAAGGCAGAGCAACCACUCUUGAGUGCCAGUUGGGCAUUGUGGGAUAUGUGGUAUGGUGCAAGUGAGUACCGAGUAUUGAGUAGAGUGUUGCUUAGGAUCUCCUCAAAGGAAAGGGAGCUCUACUUGCUUCAGCCUCACACCAGUACACCCACACACAGCAUUGCCUGCUGCUUCACAGCUCACACACGCGCAAACACACACACAGAAGAAACAAAGUUAAAAUUAGGUAAUAGUACAUUUUUGUAAUCUUCUCUUUGUGUUAAAUUACAUGAGUUGCUAAUGUUGAUGAAACACAUAGAUAAUAAUCUCUUUGUGGAGUUUGUUCAGUUUGCCUAUGAAGAACAAACCAGACAAAAACUGAAUUAUGAGCCUGGUUUCAGCAUGCAGUUUAUUCAACAAUAAUCCAGUUUGUCUCCCCAGAAUCUAAGCAUGUUGUCUGACAUGCCCGGAAGCUGCCUCGUGCAGGCAUUAUCGUUCCAACACAGCUCCUCCUACUUUACAAAAGCAUCGUGUCAUCAAAAAGGCCACCGGCAUAGCAUCUGCCUGCUUCCUGGAUGGAUCAUUGCUAAGUACCACGCUUUUGUCCUCUAAUAAAAACACUUUUUGCUACUGUGAUCUAAUCAAGUAAUCAUGCUUAGCAGAGGCUAACAGGUGUUGGGAUCAUGGUUGCCUCAGCCUCUCUGCUUGAAACCUUUAUUGGAGGAUAAGAGGGUGGCCAAGGCUGCUGUUGACAUGGAUGGGACCACCUGCUGACGAUGAUUUUGGUGAAGAUGAUUAAAAGGAAGGUGGCAACAUCAGAGAGGGAAAGCUGGGUGGAGGGAGGAGGCAGCAGGCAGACCAGAAAGAGCAGUGGGCACAUGCACCGCCUUGAAUACCAGAAGGCCUGCUUGCUUGUGGCAUGAGUGCUACCAUUGAUCACAGCUUCUUUUUUCCAUAUGUUUUCUUCCUGACUAGUAGCACUAGCACCAUUGAGAUAGAUCUUUAGUUGGUGUGGUGUGCCAUCAUCAUCCUCUUGGAGAAGAGAAGAAUGUAGUACCCCCUCCGUUGCUAAAUAUAAGUCUUUUUAGAGAUUU